AAUCAUGGCUCAGGAUGAACGCUGGCGGCGUGCCUAACACAUGCAAGUCGAGCGAUUUACUUCGGUAAAGAGCGGCGGACGGGUGAGUAACGCGUGGGUAACCUGCCCUGUACACACGGAUAACAUACCGAAAGGUAUGCUAAUACGAGAUAACAUACUUUUAUCGCAUGGUAGAAGUAUCAAAGCUCUGGCGGUACAGGAUGGACCCGCGUCUGAUUAGCUAGUUGGUAAGGUAACGGCUUACCAAGGCG
rnacentral:rRNA from 1 species